UGAGUACGAGAUGCUACGGCAUUGAAGCAGUCUAUGUCAUACUUCCAAGAAAAGCUUGCAAUGUCAUAAACAAAUAAUGCCUGUACCAUAACCGACACAGGUGGGUAGGUAGAGUAUACUAAGGGGCGCGAGAUAACUCUCUCUAAGGAACUCGGCAAAAUGACUCCGUAACUUCGGGAGAAGGAGUGCCUUAUUUUAUAAGGUUGCAAUAACAAGAUCCAAGCAACUGUUUACCAAAAACACAGGUCUCCGCUAAGUCGUAAGACGAUGUAUGGGGGCUGACGCCUGCCCAGUGCCAGAAGGUUAAAGAAGUUGGUUAGCAUUAGCGAAGCUGAUAACUGAAGCCCUGGUGAACGGCGGCCGUAACUAUAACGGUCCUAAGGUAGCGAAAUUCCUUGUCGGGUAAGUUCCGACCCGCACGAAAGGCGUAAUGAUUUGGAUACUGUCUCGGAGAGGGGCUCGGUGAAAUAGACUUGUCUGUGAAGAUGCGGACUACCUGCACCUGGACAGAAAGACCCUAUGAAGCUUUACUGUAACUUGAGAUUGAAAUUGGACUUUAUUUGCGCAGUAUAGGUGGGGGACAUUGAAAGUAUUCUUGCGGGAAUAUUGGAGUCAUCAGUGAGAUACCACUCUUAUAAUGUUAGAUUUCUAACUUUGUAUCAUUAUCUGGUCAAAGGACAGUUUCAGGCGGGCAGUUUGACUGGGGCGGUCGCCUCCCAAACGGUAACGGAGGCGCACAAAGGUUUCCUCUGAACGUGUAGAAAUCGUAUCUAGAGUGUAAAGGCAUAAGGAAGCUUGACUGUGAGACCUACAAGUCGAGCAGGGACGAAAGUCGGUCUUAGUGAUCUGACGGUGCUGAGUGGAAAGGCCGUCACUCAACGGAUAAAAGUUACUCUAGGAUAACAGGCUGAUCUCCCCCAAGAGUUCACAUCGACGGGGAGGUUUGGCACCUCGAUGUCGGCUCAUCGCAUCCUGGGGCGGUAGUACGUCCCAAGGGUUGGGCUGUUCGCCCAUGAAAGCGGUACGCGAGCUGGGUUCAGAACGUCGUGAGACAGUUCGGUCCAUAUCCGGUGUAGGCGUUAGAAUAUUGAGAGGAGCCUUCUUUAGUACGAGAGGACCGAGAAGGACAUACCUCUGGUGUACCAGUUAUCGUGCCAACGGUAAACGCUGGGUAGCUAUGUAUGGAGAGGAUAACCGCUGAAAGCAUCUAAGUGGGAAGCCCACCUCAAGAUAAGUAUUCUCA
rnacentral:rRNA from 1 species